GACUCAGUAGCUAAGUGGAUAAAGCGAUGGCUUUUGAAGCGAACGUUACAGGGUUCGAUUUCCAGAGUG
rnacentral:tRNA from 1 species